rnacentral:misc_RNA from 1 species
GUUUUACUUCAUCAAACUAUAUAAUUGGUUUGUUAUAAAGAGUUUUGGGUUUAGAAAGUGCCUAGCAAUAUGGAUUGAUUGGUGAAGUUGGCAUUCCCAUCUAUCAUCAAUAAUUGUGAAGAUUUCUUUAUACUUUUCAUUCUCAUUGGAUAUUUUCUUGGUUAGUUCUUGGCUCCAUCCAUGGCUACAAAAGUAUAUAUGUUAGUUUCUUCAUAUUAUCAGUAAGC